GGGAAUGGAAUCAAAAUGAUUGUGGAGACACAGGAUCAUUCUGAACCAAAGUACUACAACUUGAACAAAGAAAAUACAAAUGCUUGCCUGGCUACAGAGUUCAGCUCCCACAGUGCUACAAAUAAAACAGGGUUACCAUGGCGAGAGGCCAGCAGAGUGAAGGGCGAUUCCUACUACAGCCAGGUAGCGCUAAUCAACAACAAUGAAACAUGCGAAAAUGGAAGUCCAUCAAAGAAUGGAGACAACUGGCCAUUAAAAACAGAUCGAAAGACUAACUUCCUAUCCCUGACCAUUCUGGGCCUGCGAAUUCUGUUCCUGAAGACCAUCAUAUUCAAUGUGCUGAUGACUCUACGGGUGUGGAUGAGUUAGAAAGAUGCCCAUCAGUCUUUCAGAAGACAACAUCAGCAGUCUACCAGAACAACUACAGACUUUUGACCACUUACAUCAUGCAAAAGUUAAAACUAUAUUGGUGAAUUGUAAAUACUUGUGUCAGUUGCAUUGCAAUUACAUUCUAGAUGUAAAGAUUUUACUAAUUGGAAUGUAUUGAUUGUUUAGAAUGUCAAAUACUCACAGUAAAACACAGUAUAUUACUUUACACAGUAUAUUACUUUAGUACUUCAAGACAAGAAAUUUAUAAAAAUUUGCUUUACUUGAAUAUUUUGCAUUUGUUCUCUGAAACUGUUUUAAGUUGUUUUACUAGGCCUACAUAGAACUGUUUUUGAUUCUGCUCUAUACCUCUGCCUGAGUCAUGAUGAAAGCCGAUAUCUAUUAUUCUUUAUAGUGUAUACAUUUUCCAUACUAAAAAUGUACUGUUUAGCGAAACAUUGCAGAACUAAAUUAGAAAUACUUCCUGUUUGUGUUCUGAAAAAAAAAGAAAUAUACUUGUAAAAUGUUCUGUUUUUAUGAAAAUAUUUAUUAUAUGGAGUUUGCCCGUAAGUCUUAAUAAUAUUACAAAUUAUUAUGAAUUAUAAAUUGUUAUAAUUUCACCAAAAUAGUAAUUUACUUAAUUCGUCCUAUCAUAAUAAGUAUAUAUCCUAAUUCCAGAUGAACAGGCAACAUUGUCUGAAUAUGUAAAGGGUUUUAUAAAUAAGUGUCAUGUAAAGUUUUGGAUAUAUAUAAAUGCAGGUCUGACUAUUACUAUGUAUAUACUGUACCUAACAUAUACUUUAUAAUACAAUUGUGGAGUGUCAUUUUAAAAUAAAACUUUCUAUAAACAU